CCCACAGGCCGUAAACCCAAGGUUUCCAGGGGAAGGUUCGUCCGCCCUGGGUUAGUCGGGACCUAAGCUGAGGCCGAAAGGCGUAGGUGAUGGACAACAGGUUGAUAUUCCUGUACUACCGAUAACCGGUUGAGAGAAGGGAUGACACAGUAGGAUAAGCUAAGCACACUGUUGGUUAUGUGUGCCCAAGCAUUGAGGCAGUCAAAGUAGGCAAAUCCGCUUUGAUAAUGCUGGGAUGUGAUGGGGAGCGAAAUUUAGUAGCGAAGUAGCUGAUUUCACACUGUCAAGAAAAGUCUCUAUCGAGGUUAAAGGUACCCGUACCGCAAACCGACACAGGUGGGUGAGGAGAGUAUCCUAAGGCCA
rnacentral:rRNA from 1 species